rnacentral:rRNA from 1 species
AUGGAAGGAGUCGAGGGGCUGUUGAGGGGGUUGAAGCUGUCGGAGGCAGAGAAGAGAGGGCUGAAGAUUGGAGAGGAGGAGAUAGGGAAGGCAGCGGACUGGGCGGCCAAGGAACCACAGGUGAUGGGAAAACUCUUCUCGGAGAAACCCGCACAUGCCAGCGUGAUCGGGCAAACACUGGGGAGGAUCUGGUGUCCCAUUAAAGGUGUGGAUUGCAAAGAGGUGGAGUCCAAUGUGUUCUUAUUUACCUUCCGUCAACCGGCGGGUUGGAGGCGAGCACUGGAGGAAGGACCGUGGUGGUUUGAUAAGGAACUCUUAGUAAUGGAGGAUUUCGACCCAGAGAAGACGGUAGAUGAAUAUGACUUCAACCUGAUCCCAAUAUGGUUCCAUGUGUUUGGGCUACCACUCGGGUAUAUGAACAGAGCCACAGGUGAGCGCAUUGGCGCAAGUUUUCACAAACUAGUCGAGGUGGAUGUAAGGCAUGAUGGGAGAGUUGUGGGGAAGUACCUCCGCGUGAAAGUGAAACUGAACAUUAAGGAACCGAUCAUGAGGGGCUUCGUGCUGGACAGGGAGAGGACGUCAGAUGGCAACAUGCUGGUGGAGGUAGCGGAGGGAGAGGACAGUAGUAAGAAGAAGAAAAGGAAAGAACUACUCUGGUGCCGUUUUGAGUAUGAACAGAUGCCAGAUUUCUAUUACACCCGCGGGAUUAUUGGACAUGGGGAGAAGGAGUCUAGUAUGAAACCUGUGAGAGGUGAAGAACCCCAGUACGGCCCAUGGAUGAGAGCAGAGGACAGCCACGAGAAGGAGGAAGGAGGGAGAGGUAGAUGGAAUGAGGGGAGACGCAACAUCAGUGGUAGAAGUCUGAGUGGAGGGAGAGGAUGCAAGGGGAACUUUUCCCAAGGAGAACGUAGGAAGUACAACUGGGGCAGAGGUUCUGGUGGGUCGGCAGCGAUGCCCCAUCUUGGAGGAAGGAGGGGGUUGUAUCAGGAAGCAAUGAUAAGAUAG